CGUAGGGGUACCUGCGGAGGGAUCAUUACACAAUACAAUAUGAAGGCUGUCCGCAGCUGGAGUAUUUUAUUACCCUUGUCUUUUGCGCACUUGUUGUUUCCUGGGCGGGUUCGCUCGCCACCAGGACCACCAAAUAAACCUUUUUUAUGCAGUUGCAGUCAGCGUCAGUACAAACAAUGUAAAUCAUUUACAACUUUCAACAACGGAUCUCUUGGUUCUGGCAUCGAUGAAGAACGCAGCGAAAUGCGAUACGUAGUGUGAAUUGCAGAAUUCAGUGAAUCAUCGAAUCUUUGAACGCACAUUGCGCCCUUUGGUAUUCCAAAGGGCAUGCCUGUUCGAGCGUCAUUUGUACCCUCAAGCUUUGCUUGGUGUUGGGCGUUUUUGUCUUUGGUCGCCCAAAGACUCGCCUUAAAGUGAUUGGCAGCCGGCCUUUCUGGUUUCGCAGCGCAGCACAUUUUUGCGCUUGCCAUCAGCAAAACGGCAAUCCAUCAAGCCUCCUUCUCACGUUUGACCUCGGAUCAGGUAGGGAUACCCGCUGAACUUAAGCAUAUCAAUAGCCGG
rnacentral:rRNA from 1 species